UCGAGGGGCAGCAUGAGGUAGCAAUACCUUGAUGGCGACCGGCGCACGGAUGAGUAACGCGUAUGCAACCUGCCCGAUACCGGGGUAUAGCCCAUGGAAACGUGGAUUAACACCCCAUAGUACUUUUAUCCUGCCUGGGAUGUGAGUUAAAUGUUCAAGGUAUCGGAUGGGCAUGCGUCCUAUUAGUUAGUUGGCGGGGUAACAGCCCACCUAGUCUUCGAUGGAUAGGGGUUCUGAGAGGAAGGUCCCCACAUUGGAACUGAGACACGGUCCAAACUCC
rnacentral:rRNA from 1 species